rnacentral:rRNA from 1 species
UACGAGGGGGGCAAAUGUUGUUCGGAAUCAUUGGGCGUAAAGGGAGCGUAGGCGGGCUCUUAAGUUAGGGGUUUAAUCCCGGGGCUCAACCCCGGACAGGCACCUAAAACUGGGAGUCUUGAAUAGUGGAGAGGACGGCGGAAUUGGGGGUGUAGCGGUGGAAUGCGUAGAGAUCCCCAAGAACACCAGUUGCGAAGGCGGCCGUCUGGACACAUAUUGACGCUGAGGCUCGAAAGCAUGGGGAGCAAACAGG